UACGAAGGGUGCAAGCGUUACUCGGAAUUACUGGGCGUAAAGCGUGCGUAGGUGGUUUGUUAAGUCUGAUGUGAAAGCCCCGGGCUCAACCCGGGAACUGCAUCCGAAACCAUCUCGCUAGAGUAUGGGAGAGGGAAGCGGAAUUCCUGGUGUAGAGGUGAAAUUCGUAGAUAUCAGGAGGAACAUCUGCGGCGAAGGCGGCUUCCUGGCCCAUUACUGACGUUCAGGUACGAAAGCGUGGGUAGCAAACAGG
rnacentral:rRNA from 1 species